rnacentral:rRNA from 1 species
GAUGAACGCUGGCGGCGUGCUUAACACAUGCAAGUCGAACGGAAAGGCCUCAGCUUGCUGGGGUACUCGAGUGGCGAACGGGUGAGUAACACGUGGGUGAUCUGCCCUGCACUUUGGGAUAAGCUUGGGAAACUGGGUCUAAUACCGAAUAUGACCACUUCUUGGAUGUUGUGGUGGAAAGCUUUUGCGGUGUGGGAUGAGCCUGCGGCCUAUCAGCUUGUUGGUGGGGUAAUGGCCUACCAAGGCGGCGACGGGUAUCCGGCCUGAGAGGGUGUACGGACACAUUGGGACUGAGAUACGGCCCAGACUCCUACGGGAGGCAGCAGUGGGGAAUAUUGCACAAUGGGCGCAAGCCUGAUGCAGCGACGCCGCGUGGGGGAUGAAGGCCUUCGGGUUGUAAACUCCUUUCGCUAUCGACGAAGCCUUUUAGGUGACGGUAGGUAGAUAAGAAGCACCGGCUAACUACGUGCCAGCCGCCGCGGUAA